rnacentral:rRNA from 1 species
GAUGAACGCUGGCGGCGUGCCUAACACAUGCCAGUCGAGCGAACGGAGGAGAAGCUUGCUUCUCUUAUGUUAGCGGCGGACGGGUGAGUAACACGUGGAUAACCUCCCUUUAAGACUGGGAUAACUUCGGGAAACCGGAGCUAAUACCGGAUAUUAUUUUGAACCGCUUGGUUCAAAAGUGAAAGACGGUCUUGCUGUCACUUAUAGAUGGAUCCGUGCUGCAUUAGCUAGUUGGUAGGGUAACGCCUUACCAAGGCAACGAUGCAUAGCAGACCUGAGAGGGUGAUCGGCCACACCGGAAGUGAGACACGGUCCAGACUCCUACGGGAGGCAGCAGUAGGGAAUCUUCCGCAAUGGGCGAAAGCCUGACGGAGCAACGCCGCGUGAGUGAUGAAGGUCUUCGGAUCGUAAAACUCUGUUAUUAGGGAAGAACAUAUGUGUAAGUAACUGUGCACAGCUUGACGGUACCUAAUCAGAAAGCCACGGCUAACUACGUG